AUGCCAAAACCCGGCCCAACUGAAAUCUAAAACAAAAUCCAAAAGAUAAAAACUAUAGAAAAAUCUAGAAAGGGAAAGUCACUUCAUCUUCUUCCAUGUAUAGAAUUAGGCUAGCUCUGUUGACGAUCUACUGCUGAAUACAAAAAUGGAGCAAGAUCGUAGUUGUAUCAUCACCUCCCAUAUCUGCAUCUCAUUGAGUUCAGGUUGAGCCAGAGCUCUAGUAUCCCUACAUAGUCCAGCAGACCUUCAAUGAUGUUUAGAAGCACGAGCUUCAGAGAACCAGUAG